rnacentral:lncRNA from 1 species
UUUAGUGGUUACUCCCACCUACCUGUACAUAAGUACUGUUUAGAUAGAGAGAGACUAUAAAGUUGUUAAUCUAGCUAGGGUUUUCUAUAAGUGAAAGUAAAUAGUUAUAUACGUGCCCAAACUCAUCACGUGCGAUGCGACUUUAACAUGUUUGAUAGUAUAUCGUUCUGCUAAAUGAAGCCAGGUGGGAUAGCCAGCCCCAGCCGUUCGUUCACGUGUUGGAUAGGUUCCGUGGUUUCAGUCAUGGGUACGUGGCUGCUCUAGAGUUGUUCCUUUGGGAUGUCGUCGGGCUUGUGAAUUUGGACCUUAAGAUUACUGAGCUCGGGCUUUGAUAUCCCAACAUCAAGUAAAUGGGAAAGUUUGUUUGUUCGCUUGUUUGUUGCGUUAUUAAUUGGAUUGUUAUAGUUGAACCUAGCUAAUUCAUUUGUAUUAGUAGUAUUGUUUUGGAAUUCUUUUAUUUACAAUAGCUAGCAUAUGUGAUACUAGGGUUAACUCGUGCCUCCGGCACUAUUAAUACUC